GGAAUGAGUACACUCUAAAUCCUUUAACGAGGAUCGAUUGGAGGGCAAGUCUGGUGCCAGCAGCCGCGGUAAUUCCAGCUCCAAUAGCGUAUGCUAAAGCUGCUGCGGUUAAAAAGCUCGUAGUUGGAUCUCAGUUACGGGCGGGUGGUGCAUCUACCCGAUGUGACAGCCCGAUCUGAACAUCUUACCUUCUAUCCUCUGGUGUCCUUCACUGGAUGCCUUUGGGUGGUCGGUGCAUUUACUUUGAAAAAAUUGGAGUGCUCAACGCAGGCGAAGUGCCUGAACACUUAUGCAUGGAAUAAUAGAACAAGACCCCGUUUCUGUUCUGUUGGUUUUUGGAAAACGAGGUAAUGAUCAAGAGGGACAGACGGGGGCAUUCGUAUUGCGGCGCUAGAGGUGAAAUUCUUGGACCGUCGCAAGACGAACUACAGCGAAAGCAUUUGCCAAGAAUGUUUUCAUUGAUCAAGAACGAAAGUUAGAGGUUCGAAGGCGAUCAGAUACCGCCCUAGUUCUAACCAUAAACGAUGCCAACCAGCAAUCCGCCUGAGUUACUCCAAUGACUCUGCGGGCAGCUUCCGGGAAACCAAAGUAUUUGGGUUCCGGGGGAAGUAUGGUUGCAAAGCUGAAACUUAAAGGAAUUGACGGAAGGGCACCACCAGGAGUGGAGCCUGCGGCUCAAUUUGACUCAACACGGGAAAACUUACCCGGCCCGGACACUGGGAGGAUUGACAGAUUGAGAGCUCUUUCUUGAUCGG
rnacentral:rRNA from 1 species